rnacentral:rRNA from 1 species
UACGUAGGUGGCAAGCGUUGUCCGGAUUUACUGGGCGUAAAGAGCGCGCAGGCGGUCGUUCAAGUCGCGUGUGAAAGCCCCCGGCUCAACUGGGGAGGGUCACGCGAUACUGAUCGACUCGAAGGCAGGAGAGGGUAGUGGAAUUCCCGGUGUAGUGGUGAAAUGCGUAGAUAUCGGGAGGAACACCAGUGGCGAAGGCGACUACCUGGCCUGUUCUGACGCUGAGGCGCGAAAGCUAGGG